AGCGAACGCUGGCGGCAGGCCUAACACAUGCAAGUCGAACGAACUCUUCGGAGUUAGUGGCGGACGGGUGAGUAACACGUGGGAACGUGCCUUUUGGUUCGGAAUAACUCAGGGAGACUUGUGCUAAUACCGAAUGUGCCCUUCGGGGGAAAGAUUUAUCGCCAUUAGAGCGGCCCGCGUCUGAUUAGCUUGUUGGUGAGGUAACGGCUCACCAAGGCGACGAUCAGUAGCUGGUCUGAGAGGAUGACCAGCCACACUGGGACUGAGACACGGCCCAGACUCCUACGGGAGGCAGCAGUGGGGAAUCUUGCGCAAUGGGCGAAAGCCUGACGCAGCCAUGCCGCGUGAAUGAUGAAGGUCUUAGGAUUGUAAAAUUCUUUCACCGGGGACGAUAAUGACGGUACCCGGAGAAGAAGCCCCGGCUAACUUCGUG
rnacentral:rRNA from 1 species